GCACGCCGCGUGAGUGAUGAAGGCCUUCGGGUCGUAAAGCUCUUUGAUCAGGGAUGAUAAUGACAGUACCUGAAAAACAAGCCACGGCUAACUACGUGCCAGCAGCCGCGGUAAUACGUAGGUGGCGAGCGUUGUCCGGAAUUACUGGGCGUAAAGGAUGCGUAGGUGGAUACUUAAGUGGGAUGUGAAAUCCCCGGGCUCAACCCGGGAACUGCAUUCCAAACUGGGUAUCUAGAGUGCAGGAGAGGAAAGCGGAAUUCCUAGUGUAGCGGUGAAAUGCGUAGAUAUUAGGAGGAACACCAGUGGCGAAGGCGGCUUUCUGGACUGUAACUGACACUGAGGCAUGAAAGCGUGGGUAGCAAACAGGAUUAGAUACCCUGGUAGUCCACGCCGUAAACGAUGGGUACUAGGUGUAGGAGGUAUCGACCCCUUCUGUGCCGUCGUUAACACAAUAAGUACCCCGCCUGGGGAGUACGGUCGCAAGACUAAAACUCAAAGGAAUUGACGGGGGCCCGCACAAGCAGCGGAGCAUGUGGUUUAAUUCGAAGCAACGCGAAGAACCUUACCUAGACUUGACAUCUCCUGAAUUACCCUUAACCGGGGAAGCCCUUCGGGGCAGGAAGACAGGUGGUGCAUGGUUGUCGUCAGCUCGUGUCGUGAGAUGUUGGGUUAAGUCCCGCAACGAGCGCAACCCUUAUUUUUAGUUGCUACCAUUCAGUUGAGCACUCUAAAGAGACUGCCCGGGUUAACCGGGAGGAAGGUGGGGAUGACGUCAAAUCAUCAUGCCCCUUAUGUCUAGGGCUACACACGUGCUACAAUGGUGAGAACAAAGAGACGCGAGACCGCGAGGUGGAGCANAUCUCAUAANACUCAUCCCAGUUCGGAUUGCAGGCUGAAACUCGCCUGCAUGAAGCCGGAGUUGCUAGUAAUCGCGAAUCAGCAUGUCC
rnacentral:rRNA from 1 species